UACGUAGGGGGCAAGCGUUGUCCGGAUUUAUUGGGCGUAAAGAGCGUGUAGGCGACUUUACAGGUCCGUUGUGAAAUCUCCGGGCUUAACUCGGAAAGGUCAACUGAUACUGUGCGACUAGAGUGCGGAAGGGGCAACUGGAAUUCUCGGUGUAGCGGUGAAAUGCGUAGAUAUCGAGAGGAACACCUGCGGCGAAGGCGGGUUGCUGGGCCGACACUGACGCUGAUGCGCGAAAGCCAGGGGAGCGAACGGG
rnacentral:rRNA from 1 species